GCUCCGUUGGUGAACCAGCGGAGAGAUCAUUACCGAGUUUACGACUCCCAAACCCAAUGUGAACCAUACCAAACUGUUGCCUCGGCGGGGUCACGCCCCGGGUGCGUCGCAGCCCCGGAACCAGGCGCCCGCCGGAGGGACCAACCAAACUCUUUCUGUAGUCCCCUCGCGGACGUUAUUUUUACAGCUCUGAGCAAAAAUUCAAAAUGAAUCAAAACUUUCAACAACGGAUCUCUUGGUUCUG
rnacentral:misc_RNA from 1 species